GUCCAGGUUGAAGUUGCCGUAAAAGGCAAUGGAGGACCGAACACACAUCCGUUGAAAAGGGUGGUGAUGAGGUGUGGAUAGCGGAGAAAUUCCAAUCGAACUCGGAGAUAGCUGGUUCUCCUCGAAAUAGCUUUAGGGCUAGCCUCGAGAGGAGUCUAACGGAGGUAAAGCACUGAACUGACGCGGGGCCCAAAAAGGUUACCAACUCAUAUCAAACUAAGAAUGCCGUCAAGAUACCCUCGGGAGUCAGUCUGCGUGAGAUAAGUCGCGUGGACAAAAGGGAAAGAGCCCAGACCGACAGCUAAGGUCCCAAAGUACGUGUUAAGUGGAAAAGGAUGUGGGAUUUCAUAGACAACUAGGAUGUUGGCUUAGAAGCAGCCAUACAUUUAAAGAGUGCGUAAUAGCUCACUAGUCGAGAAAACCUGCGCCGAAAAUGUAACGGGGCUAAAACACGACACCGAAGCUACGGAUUCCUUACUAAGUAAGGAGUGGUAGAGGAGCAUCCUGCAAGGACGAAGCCAAAGUGAGAGCGAUGGUGGACGAAACAGGAGAGAGAAUGCCGGAAUGAGUAGCGAGAUACAUGUGAGAAACAUGUAGGCCGAAUAUCUAAGGAUUCCUGGGUAAAGCUAAUCUUCCCAGGGUUAGUCGGGGCCUAAGGCGAGGACGAAAGUCGUAGUCGAUGGAUAACAGGUUGAUAUUCCUGUACUACACAUAAUCAGAACUGUGGGGACGCAGGAGGAUAGGGAAACCGGGGAAUGGAAAGACCCGGUCAAGCGUAAAGCUGUGGGAGAUAGGCAAAUCCGUCUCCUGUAAGUGAAACGUGAUGAGGACUGAAAAAAAGUAAGGAAGUUUCCGAAUCCACACUGCCGAGAAAAGCCGCUAUUGCGUUAUGUGUACCCGUACCGUAAACCGACACAGGUAGAUGAGGAGAAAAUCCACAGGCCGACGGGAGAAGUGUUGUUAAGGAACUCGGCAAAAUGACCCCGUAACUUCGGGAUAAGGGGAGCCUCGCAAGAGGCCGCAGAAAAGAGGCACAAGCAACUGUUUAGCAAAAACAUAGGUCUAUGCGAAACCGUAAGGUGAAGUAUAUGGGCUGACGCCUGCCCGGUGCUGGAAGGUUAAAAGGAGAGGUCAGCGCAAGCGAAGCUUUGAAUUCAAGCCCCAGUAAACGGCGGCCGUAACUAUAACGGUCCUAAGGUAGCGAAAUUCCUUGUCAGGUAAGUUCUGACCCGCACGAAAGGCGUAAUGAUUUGUGCACUGUCUCGACAACACGCCCGGUGAAAUUGAAGAACCAGUGAAGAUACUGGUUACCCGCAACAGGACGGAAAGACCCCAUGGAGCUUUACUGCAAUCUAAUACUGGGAUUCGAUGAUGUAUGUACAGGAUAGGAGGGAGACUAGGAAGCAUGGACGCCAGUCUGUGUGGAGUCGCCGGUGGGAUACCUCUCUUAUAUCAUUGGAUUUCUAACCAGUGCCCGUAAGCCGGGCAUGGGACAAUGUUAGGUGGGCAGUUUGACUGGGGCGGUCGCCUCCUAAAGAGUAACGGAGGCGCUCGAAGGUCACCUCAGAAUGAUUGGAAACCAUUCAAAGAGUGUAAAGGCAAAAGGUGGCUUGACUGCGAGGUCGACGGACCGAGCAGGUACGAAAGUAGGACUUAGUGAUCCGGUGGUAAUAAGUGGGAAUGCCAUCGCUCAACGGAUAAAAGCUACCCUGGGGAUAACAGGCUUAUCUCCCCCAAGAGUUCACAUCGACGGGGAGGUUUGGCACCUCGAUGUCGGCUCAUCGCAUCCUGGGGCUGAAGUAGGUCCCAAGGGUUGGGCUGUUCGCCCAUUAAAGCGGUACGCGAGCUGGGUUCAGAACGUCGUGAGACAGUUCGGUCCCUAUCCGUUGUGGGCGUAGGAAAUUUGAGAGGAGCUGUCCUUAGUACGAGAGGACCGGGAUGGACGAACCUCUGGUGUACCGGUUGCAUACCAAAUGCACGGCCGGGUAGCUAAGUUUGGAACGGAUAAACGCUGAAGGCAUCUAAGCGUGAAGCCGCCCUCAAGACAAGAUUUCCCAUUGCGCAAGCAAGUAAGACCCCUUGAAGACUACGAGGUAGAUAGGUCGGAGGUGUAAGUGCAGUAAUGUAUUUAGCUGACUGAUACUAAUAGGUCGAGGGCUUGACCA
rnacentral:rRNA from 1 species